rnacentral:rRNA from 1 species
CGCGGCCUAUCAGCUUGUUGGUGGGGUAACGGCCCACCUAGGCGGCGACGGGUAGCCGGCCUGAGAGGGCGACCGGCCACACUGGGACUGAGACACGGCCCAGACUCCUACGGGAGGCAGCAGUGGGGAAUAUUGCACAAUGGGCGAAAGCCUGAUGCAGCGACGCCGCGUGAGGGAUGACGGCCUUCGGGUUGUAAACCUCUUUCAGCAGGGAAGAAGCGAAAGUGACGGUACCUGCAGAAGAAGCGCCGGCUAACUACGUGCCAGCAGCCGCGGUAAUACGUAGGGCGCAAGCGUUGUCCGGAAUUAUUGGGCGUAAAGAGCUCGUAGGCGGCCUGUCACGUCGGAUGUGAAAGCCCGGGGCUUAACCCCGGGUCUGCAUUCGAUACGGGCAGGCUAGAGUUCGGUAGGGGAGAUCGGAAUUCCUGGUGUAGCGGUGAAAUGCGCAGAUAUCAGGAGGAACACCGGUGGCGAAGGCGGAUCUCUGGGCCGAUACUGACGCUGAGGAGCGAAAGCGUGGGGAGCGAACAGGAUUAGAUACCCUGGUAGUCCACGCCGUAAACGUUGGGAACUAGGUGUGGGCGACAUUCCACGUCGUCCGUGCCGCAGCUAACGCAUUAAGUUCCCCGCCUGGGGAGUACGG